rnacentral:tRNA from 1 species
AGAGAGUUUUGAUCUCUUAAUUAUAGGUUCAACUCCUAU